CGGGGUGGAGCUCAGUGGUAGAGCAAAUGCAUAGUAGGAAUGAGGCCCUGGAUUCAACUCCCAGUACCUCCA
rnacentral:tRNA from 1 species